AGAUCUUGCUUUUCUGCCCAGCAACUUUCCUUCUUUUCUGUCUCCAACACCACUCACCCAAGUGCGUCUAGUGUAAAUGGACGGAUGGUUCGUUUCCUGCUUAACACACCGACCGUUUGAGUGGUACAGUAACUAAUUUCUGACGGAGGGAGUAUAUUAUUUUGUCAGUUGACCCAGCAUGCCCUUGUGUAGGGUGGCGCAUGGUUUUGCUACAUGCACAAGUGAAGCCAUCCAAGUCUGAACAAGUAUCCACAAAACAAUCAACUAGUACUAGUAAUUUCAACAAUCAAGCGCCCACUGAUUCUUGAUUCCGCCGAUGAUUAAACAAACAAAUCUCCUGUUCUGUUCUAACGGUAUUGCUGCUGCAAUCUCGAUGCAUCCAUCUUAAUUAGUACUAGCUCGCUCAAAUGUUACUAAUUUAUCUAGCCAAAUGCGUUGGCUUCCGUUCCAUGUGCGUCCAGAAUUAAACACCUAGAUAAUGAGAGACCAUGCUGUUUUUUGACUGGUCUCACAACCCAAGAUUUGCUUGCGUGCUUGUUGGUGAGUUUGCUCAUGGAAUCUCUCAAUCAAAGGAUGAGGAGACCUGACCUAACCUACCAUGCGGAUGCGGACGCGGUGCACAACACAGGCCACUGCUGAUCUGGUCUUCAUAGGGCUCACAUGGGUCAUGUGGCUGUGGGUAGGGAAGCUUCUGAUUGCUGACAAAGAAAAGGAAAGGAAAACUAUGGAGCCAGCAUAAUGUGCCAGCCUAGCUUGUGCAGACAAGUCUUCUGUUUCUUCCAAGUUCCAACAUGCUUGCUUGUUACUGUACUUUGGGGAUGAGGCUUAUUGGUGGGGGUAGACAUGGCUCUUGUCCUCGAUAACUUUGCUAGUACUAGUUGCCAUUGCUAUUGCUGCUAACUUUCCCCCCAUGUGGUGCAGUUGCAAUUCUCCCUGCCUUUUUGCUUCUUCUCUUAUUAUCAGGCCAUGUCCAAAUCUAACUCAUAGUCAUAUAUCUCUACAUUCCGCAAAAAAAAAAAUCUCACCCUCUGAUAGUGAUUACUCACCAUUACCCUUGUACUUAUAAUAAUUAUCACGCUGUGGUGAAUAAGCCUGUGAUCAUGGCAGGGUCAUGAUCGUGAGGUCCCAACCCAGCAUUUGAAUGGAGCAGAAUUGACAGGCACGCAGUGUGCAUCUGACCUUGCAAAUGUUGCAGUGAGUUGAAGAAUAAUGUACUGCAUCUACCAGCUAGAACUAACCAAGCAGUACCCCUUCCAUGAUCAAAUUUGCCUUACUAUACCAGCUGUUAGGGCAUGUACAAUGCAUAGCCUCAAGGUGAUGCCUCGCAUGCCAUAUGACGUAAAGUAGGUUCGGAUAGGGAAGCGGGAUCCUCUUCAGGAGGCGGGUGCUUGAAGAGAAAAAGUGUGGUCCGGUGACAAAAGCUGAAAAGGUUGGUGAAUGGUGAGUGUGUCUGUCCAGGACGGUCAUGUGUUUGGUGCUACCACAUACUUAAAGGUGUGCUCUUCUGUUCACCUGCAAAACAUUACUUUAAUUAUAUACUGUUAAUGAAUACAGCACAAUAGUAAGUAAUUCUGAUUGCAAAACACAUUACGGCUUUGUAUAAGUUAGGAGCUGUGAAGGGGUCCUCCAUGGAAUUGAUGAAUAUGGAUGAGGUAUCUCUCUCAACCCUAGAUGCUCAUCAGUGAUUUUAAAUGAUUAGAAUAUUAUCAUCUUAGACUGAAUCAUGCUAGCAUCAAUGAGCUACUAUUAUUAUUGCCCAGAAUAGUUCAGGAAAAGUUAGUCUGCCUCUUUCGGAUAAUCUGGUACACUGUCAAAAUAACCCCUCACCUAACAGCAGAAUUAAACUGUGGUCCGGAAGUUUGAUUGCCAUCAAAACCUAAUAAAUAUCCUAACUGUA